rnacentral:rRNA from 1 species
AGUGAACGCUGGCGGUAGGCCUAACACAUGCAAGUCGAACGGCAGCACAGUAAGAGCUUGCUCUUACGGGUGGCGAGUGGCGGACGUGUGAGGAAUACAUCGGAAUCUACUUUUUCGUGGGGGAUAACGUAGGGAAACUUACGCUAAUACCGCAUACUACCUACGGGUGAAAGCAGGGGAUCUUCUGACCUUGCGCGAUUGAAUGAGCCGAUGUCGGAUUAGCUAGUUGGCCGGGUAAAGGCCCACCAAGGCGACGAUCCGUAGCUGGUCUGAGAGGAUGAUCAGCCACACUGGAAAUGAGACACGGUCCAGACUCCUACGAGAGGCAGCAGUGGGGAAUAUUGGACAAUGGGCGGAAGCCUGAUCCAGCAAUACCGAGUGGGUGAAGAAGGCCUUCGGGUUGUAAAGCCCUUUUGUUGGGAAAGAAAAGCAGCAGGUUAAUACCCCGCUGUUCUGACGGUACCCAAAGAAUAAGCACCGGCUAACUUCGUG